rnacentral:rRNA from 1 species
CUUAGUGACUGCGGAGGGAUCAUUACACAAUAAAAUACGAAGGGCCGUUCGCGGCUGGACUAUUUAUUACCCUUGUCUUUUGCGCACUUAGUUGUUUCCUAGGGCGGGUUCGCUCGCCACCAGGACCACAAUAUAAACCUUUUUUAUGCAGUUGCAAUCAGCGUCAGUAUAACAAAUGUAAAUCAUUUACAACUUUCAACAACGGAUCUCUUGGUUCUGGCAUCGAUGAAGAACGCAGCGAAAUGCGAUACGUAGUGUGAAUUGCAGAAUUCAGUGAAUCAUCGAAUCUUUGAACGCACAUUGCGCCCUUUGGUAUUCCAAAGGGCAUGCCUGUUCGAGCGUCAUUUGUACCCUCAAGCUUUGCUUGGUGUUGGGCGUUUUUGUCUUUGGCCCGCCAAAGACUCGCCUUAAAAUGAUUGGCAGCCGGCCUACUGGUUUCGCAGCGCAGCACAUUUUUGCGCUUGCAAUCAGCAAAAGAGGACGGCAAUCCAUCAAGACUCCUUCUCACGUUUGACCUCGGAUCAG